AAAUGGCUGUGGAUGCUCCAGCCAUCACGUCUGCAUUCCAGCCAGCAGCUUCAAAUUUCUCCACGUGCGUACUAUGUGGGGAACACCUACUGUCCAAAAGUGGAGAUCAGACAGAAGCAUCUAGCACGGAGCUGUCGUGAUUAGUCAGAACCUCCCAGAGGCUCUUGUCUCUCCGCAGGGGUUCGCCCAGUCCCACAAUCCCCUGCGUCAGAGCCCCCGAGCGGGGUGGGCCAGACCACGCGGCUUUCCCGCCCCCACAGCAACCCCACCAGGCAGCUCCUCUGUGGAUGGGGCUCAAGACUGGCCACGCUAGGUGGGAAACGAGCGGGCUGGGAGGCUCCAGUCUUCACGGUCGCCUGUCGCUCCCGCGGAGCCUGCAGAGGCGGAAACCCCGUCGUCCUGCGUGGCGCAUGCGCAA